CAGCGUCCUUAGGAAGGUGUCAUACACUCCCUUCACAACGUCCUUAGGAAGGUGUUACACCUCUCUUCAUGGGGUCUCUGAGAUAGUGUAAAACCUUGCGUUUGCGACGGCCUGUUUCUUGAAAGUCAUGCUGUUGUCUAAAACCGUUUAGCUGAAGAUGAUUAAAGAUAAAAACAAGUUUAGAAAGUCAUAAGAAGCUACAUAAUUGUUAGCAUGAGAGUUUGCAUGCCUUUGUUAUAUUGUAAAGAUUACCUGCUAUUUAUCAUAUUAAAGAUGGGAUUUUAAAUCAA